rnacentral:rRNA from 1 species
AUGAAGAGCAACCGAGCCCCUGGCCCCGAUAACAUACCUGCAUAAUUUUAUAAGCAUUGCUGGGAGUUUGUGAAAAAAGAUGUUAUGAACCUUUUCGAGGCCUUCCACAGCAAUUCCCUAGAUGUGGCUAGAUUGAACUACGGGGUGAUUACCCUCAUUCCUAAGAUGAGCGAAGCUAAAAAAAUUCAACAGUAUAGACCCUGCUUGCUACGAUGUCCUUACAAGCUCAUUACCAAAGUUUUGGAUAAUAGAGCAGCCUUGUUUGCAGAUAUUUUGAUCAACAAACAUCAAAAUGCAUUCAUAAACACAGAAAUAUUAUGGAUGGCAUUUUAA